AUACUCUGGUCUCUCUUCAGAUCGAAUAAAGCUUUCACCAUUAUUAAGGAUUUCCGUGGAGAGGAUCAUCCAUGAGUUUUCAAAUUUUUAUUUUUUUUUAUUUUUUUUAAGC